rnacentral:rRNA from 1 species
GCGGCAGCACGGGUACUUGUACCUGGUGGCGAGCGGCGGACGGGUGAGUAAUGCCUAGGAAUCUGCCUGGUAGUGGGGGAUAACGCUCGGAAACGGACGCUAAUACCGCAUACGUCCUACGGGAGAAAGCAGGGGACCUUCGGGCCUUGCGCUAUCAGAUGAGCCUAGGUCGGAUUAGCUAGUUGGUGAGGUAAUGGCUCACCAAGGCGACGAUCCGUAACUGGUCUGAGAGGAUGAUCAGUCACACUGGAACUGAGACACGGUCCAGACUCCUACGGGAGGCAGCAGUGGGGAAUAUUGGACAAUGGGCGAAAGCCUGAUCCAGCCAUGCCGCGUGUGUGAAGAAGGUCUUCGGAUUGUAAAGCACUUUAAGUUGGGAGGAAGGGCAGUUACCUAAUACGUGAGUGUUUUGACGUUACCGACAGAAUAAGGCAA